CACAACAGGUCUGAAAAGGAGUCAGACAGAUGGCACUCUGGAUCAGGUUUCCCACAGGGAGAAAAUGGAGCACACAUUCAGGCAUUCUAUUUUGGUGCAGGAGCAGCAGCAGAACCCUAGUUCUUCUGACUGAUGUCCCGGUUUGGGGAAACUCUGAGGACAUUAGACUUGGAUUCAGUCCAGGCUGAUGGCUCAACACAGAGUGGGUCAGCAUGCGGAGGGAGAGGGGACCGUGGGGGGCAGCCAGGGAUCUGCCGAAAGAUCAUACUGCAAAGUGACGGGACCAGCUCACCGAACAGCGUGGCAGUCUCUUUCCUAGUAGCUUUCUAUGUUGGUUACGUCUGUUACGGAUCCCCCCCUAACAUGCUUUUUCUCUAAAGCAGGAAUUGAAAUGUAGUACACGCUGCAAAUGCUGUCCUUC
rnacentral:sRNA from 1 species